AAUGGGCGGAAGCCUGAACCAGCCAUGCCGCGUGCGGGAUGAAGGCCCUACGGGUUGUAAACCGCUUUUCCCCGGGAAGAAUAACCCCGAUGAGUCGGGGGAUGCCGGUACCGGGGGAAUAAGGAUCGGCUAACUCCGUGCCAGCAGCCGCGGUAAUACGGAGGAUCCGAGCGUUAUCCGGAUUUACUGGGUUUAAAGGGUGCGUAGGCGGCCCUGCAAGUCAGCGGUGAAAUGUGGCGGCUCAACCGUUUCGCUGCCGCUGAUACUGUAGGGCUUGGAUGCGGUCGAGGCGGGUGGAAUUCGUGGUGUAGCGGUGAAAUGCAUAGAUAUCACGAGGAACGCCGAUAGCGAAGGCAGCUCGCCGGGCCGCGAUCGACGCUGAGGCACGAAAGCGUGGGGAUCAAA
rnacentral:rRNA from 1 species